CCAAUGAGCUCGAGUUGAAAAAGAAAAUAGCUUACAGCACGUGGUAUUCCCCGGUGAAGCAGUCAACGGAGGAUUCACUCAGUACCAGAUGGAACAUGCCUACACAUCAGUGCACCGUGUGCGACAAGACAUUCGGUGAAAAGUCCAACCUGGCGAGGCAUCUGAAGAUCCAUGCCAUCGCCAGGGAGACCUUUAUCUGUGACGUCUGCGGGAAGAGCUUGGCCACUAAACCAUCGCUGGUCAGCCAUCAACAGCUACACCAGUACCCCAACAUCAUUUUGUACCGGCUAGGAGAGGCCAGGCUGUACUGUACAGAGGCAGCAAGGUCUGUGGCAGAGGCCCGCAGCAGCACUGUUGUUGACCCUAAAUGGCUGGAUCUCAAGACAGCAGAGACCUUUGGAAAGGUCAGCUGGUCAUCACGUUCGGGAAGCACGCCGGUCAGACCUUCAGGUGGCUUGUGGAGAAUGAUGUCGGCUGGCUGGUGUGGCUGCUGUUCCAGUACUGCCAGCAGGGAGAGCAGAACGAGCUGCUGAAGUGGCAGAAGGAGCGACUGCUCCGCCAGACCGGCCUCAGGUCCAGUACCGGCACAUCCAUCACCAGGCUGGAAAGAGACGUGAUUAUUUGUUGAUGAGCCUGUGACUCCCGCGAACCGGCCCGUUCAGCCCACUGGGUUUGUCGUCCUCCACCCGGCUGAAGCCUGCGGCGCUCACCCCCAUUCUGCCGAGGCCUCCUGCGCCCACCCACCUCCAGCCGAGGCCACCUGCUGCGUUGACCUACGGCCCACCCCCUGUGUCGGCAGCACCCAUACUGCUGGUCCUCCCCGCACAGCCACAGGCCCCCUCCGUCCUGUUUCGUGGGACAUCCUGCAGCCAGAGCUUUGUCCCUCCUGCACCAACAGUGAAGGCAUUCAUGCCUAACAAGUCCUCAAGGCCAUGUGGGGCUUGCCACGUGCCAGACUGUGGUGGACAGCGGAAGAGGUACACCCCUUCCAAGGACAAAGUGGCUGGAAGCAUGCAGAAAAUGUUUUCCUACUGUCCAUCCACUAGGAUGUCCACUACCCCUGGCUUCGACAAUGUGGUGUAUGACAACUUUGAACACUUUAAGAGUGUCGUGGAUGCAGAGUUGGACAGGAGGACUGUGUAAAUACCUGGAAAUGCGUGUGUGUGUGUGUGUGUGUGUGUGUGUGUGUGUGUGUGUGUGUGUGUGUGUGUGUGUGUGUGUGUGUGUUUGAAUAACUUACCUCUGUGAUGCCACUGUUCCUGUGCCAUCUGUAAGAGAGAGAAAGAGGCUUGUUUGUGUGUGUUUGUCUUUGUCUUUGUGUGUGUUUUUUAAAGUGCUUCAGCAAGCACUAUCUAUUUAUUUAUAUCGUUCAAAAAAAAGGCACUUUGCAGAUUUACUUGAAGUUCUUUUGUUCGCUUUUUAUUUAUUAUUAUUUAUAUUGCUGUUAAAAUUAACUUUGUAGUAUCCAUUCUGCUCUAUGUUCAAUAUCGAGGCCAAUCUUUUAAACCAUAAUCAGUUCCAAUCUAACACAAUCAGUUUACAUACCCUUUAGUGGUUGUUCAUGUUCAGAUAAUCUGUGUUUUUGUCAUGCAUGUUGUUUGUCUUUGUCAGCUUCAUGUCUUUGUGAUGUUUGUAUGUAUUUGUCUGCUUCAGUUGUAACAAAAGUUUGCUCAAGAAAACACAAAAGGGAGGAACAGCUUGAGCCUUUAUUUGUUGAUUGGUCACCCGAGUCUAUGGAUAAUCAUGUUCAUUAUUGCACUUUAGCCUGUACAAGCCAAUUGUUGAUUUGUAUCUUGAGUACAAGUGUGUGUGUGUGUGUGUGUUCUUUAAUUGUUGAGUGUUUUUUAUUAUUAUUAAUGUUAUUUAUAUGUGCCUGUCCUUGUGAUGUGUGUAUGUCUGUCAGCUCCAUGUUUAACUAAAUGUUUGCAAAUGGUAGUACAUGUUUGUCUCUCGUCUCAUGCUCUCGUGUUCUCGCCUGUAGAUCUGUACCUAGUCGUGGUGGGCGAGCUUUUAACUAAAAUGAUCUUGUUUAUUUGUGUUUAUAUGGAUUGCCUUUUCAAUGAC